rnacentral:rRNA from 1 species
CCCGGUGGCCAUGGCGGAGGGGUCCCACCCGUUCCCAUGCCGAACACGGAAGUGAAAACCUCCAGCGCCUAGGGUACUGUGGGGGCCACCCCACGGGAGAGCGGGUCGCCGCCGGGA